UCGGCGCGCUGGACGACGGGCAGUUGCGCCGGUUCGAGCUUCGCGCGCGCGAGUUCGGGCUCGCGGUGCUGGUC
rnacentral:tRNA from 1 species